AGUGAACGCUGGCGGUAGGCCUAACACAUGCAAGUCGAACGGCAGCACAGUAAGAGCUUGCUCUUACGGGUGGCGAGUGGCGGACGGGUGAGGAAUACAUCGGAAUCUACUUUUUCGUGGGGGAUAACGUAGGGAAACUUACGCUAAUACCGCAUACGACCUACGGGUGAAAGCAGGGGAUCAUCGGACCUUGCGCGAUUGAAUGAGCCGAUGUCGGAUUAGCUAGUUGGCGGGGUAAAGGCCCACCAAGGCGACGAUCCGUAGCUGGUCUGAGAGGAUGAUCAGCCACACUGGAACUGAGACACGGUCCAGACUCCUACGGGAGGCAGCAGUGGGGAAUAUUGGACAAUGGGCGCAAGCCUGAUCCAGCUAUACCGCGUGGGUGAAGAAGGCCUUCGGGUUGUAAAGCCCUUUUGUUGGGAAAGAAAAGCAGCAGGUUAAUACCCCGCUGUUCUGACGGUACCCAAAGAAUAAGCACCGGCUAACUUCGUG
rnacentral:rRNA from 1 species